CAGUAGCCGCGGGAAUACGAAGGGGGCUAGCGUUGCUCGGAAUGACUGGGCGUAAAGAGCUCGUAGGCGGCUUGUUGCGUCGGUUGUGAAAGCCCGGGGCUUAACCCCAGGUUUGCAGUCGAUACGGGCAGGCUAGAGUGUGGUAGGGGAGAUCGGAAUUCCUGGUGUAGCGGUGAAAUGCGCAGAUAUCAGUAGGAACACCGGUGGCGAAGGCGGAUCUCUGGGCCAUUACUGACGCUGAGGAGCGAAAGCGUGGGGAGCGAACAGGAUUAGAUACCCCCGUAGUCCCUGUCUCUUAUAA
rnacentral:rRNA from 1 species